UAGGGAAUCUUCCACAAUGGACACAAGUCUGAUGGAGCAACGCCGCGUGAGUGAAGAAGGCUUUCGGGUCGUAAAACUCUGUUAUUGAAGAAGAACGUGUGUGACAGUAACUGGUCAUGCAGUGACGGUAUUCAAUCAGAAAGUCACGGCUAACUACGUGCCAGCAGCCGCGGUAAUACGUAGGUGGCGAGCGUUGUCCGGAUUUAUUGGGCGUAAAGCGAGUGCAGGCGGUCUUUUAAGUCUGAUGUGAAAGCCUUCGGCUUAACCGAAGAAGGGCAUCGGAAACUGGGAGACUUGAGUGCAGAAGAGGAGAGUGGAACUCCAUGUGUAGCGGUGAAAUGCGUAGAUAUAUGGAAGAACACCAGUGGCGAAGGCGGCUCUCUGGUCUGUAACUGACGCUGAGGCUCGAAAGCGUGGGUAGCAAACAGGAUUAGAUAC
rnacentral:rRNA from 1 species